UACGAGAGGUCCAAGCGUUGUCCGGAUUUACUGGGCGUAAAGAGCGUGUAGGCGGCCAAGCAGGUCCGUUGUGAAAACUGGAGGCUCAACUUCCAGACGUCGACGGAAACCGUGUGGCUAGAGUCCGGAAGAGGAGAGUGGAAUUCCUGGUGUAGAGGUGAAAUUCGUAGAUAUUGGGAAGAACACCGGUGGCGAAGGCGGCCAUCUGGACCGCAACUGACGCUGAGGCGCGAAAGCGUGGGGAGCAAACAGG
rnacentral:rRNA from 1 species